AUGUUCAGUUCAGUAGCAUAUAUACUAAAAUUGGAACCAUACAGAGAUUAGCAUGACCCCUGCUCAAAGAUGACAUCAAAAUUCAUGAAGUAUUCUAUAUAAAG